rnacentral:rRNA from 1 species
AGUGAACGCUGGCGGUAGGCCUAACACAUGCAAGUCGAACGGCAGCACAGGAGAGCUUGCUCUCUGGGUGGCGAGUGGCGGACGGGUGAGGAGUACAUCGGAAUCUGCCCAGUCGUGGGGGAUAACGUAGGGAAACUUACGCUAAUACCGCAUACGACCUUCGGGUGAAAGAGGGGGAUCGCAAGACCUCUCGCGAUUGGAUGAGCCGAUGUCGGAUUAGCUAGUUGGCGGGGUAAUGGCCCACCAAGGCGACGAUCCGUAGCUGGUCUGAGAGGAUGAUCAGCCACACUGGAACUGAGACACGGUCCAGACUCCUACGGGAGGCAGCAGUGGGGAAUAUUGGACAAUGGGCGCAAGCCUGAUCCAGCCAUACCGCGUGGGUGAAGAAGGCCUUCGGGUUGUAAAGCCCUUUUGUUGGGAAAGAAAUCUUUCAGGCUAAUACCCUGGGAGGAUGACGGUACCCAAAGAAUAAGCACCGGCUAACUUCGUG